rnacentral:rRNA from 1 species
GAUGAACGCUGGCGGCGUGCCUAAUACAUGCAAGUCGAGCGAACAGACGAGGAGCUUGCUCCUCUGACGUUAGCGGCGGACGGGUGAGUAACACGUGGAUAACCUACCUAUAAGACUGGGAUAACUUCGGGAAACCGGAGCUAAUACCGGAGAAUAUAUUGAACCGCAUGGUUCAAUAGUAAAAGACGGUUUUGCUGGCACUUAUAGAUGGAUCCGCGCCGCAUUAGCUAGUUGGUAAGGUAACGGCUUACCAAGGCAACGAUGCGUCGCCGACCUGAGAGGGUGAGCGGCCGCACUGGGAGUGUGACAGGGUCCAGAGUCCCAGGGGAGGGAGCCGGAGGGAAUCGUCAGCAAGGGGCGAAAGACUGACGGAGAAACGCCGAGGGAGUGAUGAAGGUCGUCGGAUCGUAAAACUCUGUUAUUAGGGAAGAACAAAUGUGUAAGUAAGUAUGCGCGUCUGGACGGGUAAUAAGCAGAAAGCCACGGCUAAAUAAGUG